GGGGUUGGGGAUUUAGCUCAGUGGUAGAGUGCUUGCCUAGGAAGCGCAAGGCCCUGGGUUCGGUCCCCAGCUCCGAAAAAAAGAACCAAAAAAAAAAAAAAAAAGAAUAACAAAGCAGGACUU
rnacentral:scRNA from 1 species